UACGUAGGGUGCAAGCGUUAAUCGGAAUUACUGGGCGUAAAGCGUGCGCAGGCGGUUCUAUAAGACAGAUGUGAAAUCCCCGGGCUCAACCUGGGAACUGCAUUUGUGACUGUAGAGCUGGAGUGCGGCAGAGGGGGAUGGAAUUCCGCGUGUAGCAGUGAAAUGCGUAGAUAUGCGGAGGAACACCGAUGGCGAAGGCAGCCCCCUGGGAUAACACUGACGCUCAUGCACGAAAGCGUGGGGAGCAAACAGG
rnacentral:rRNA from 1 species